UCCCACAUCGUUGAGUAAAGAGAAAUUGACGGAGCGAACUAUUCUUUCGCCUUUGACUAAAGAAUACCGUGUGCUCGCCACUCCAAGCGGCAUAAGCCUAUUUUGUAAUUGCUUCUCUCACUUGAGAUU
rnacentral:snRNA from 1 species